GUACAGUUUUGUCUGAACCUAUUUACAUUAUGUGUUAUGUAUGAUUUAACUGUUCUUGUUAUGACAUGAAACACUUCUUAUGUGGGUCUUUCUAUUUUCCAAUUCAUGUUCCAGAUAUGAAUUUUCGACACAAUCAUAAAAAACUUGUACUCAACUCAGAGAAUCAUCGUACUCUUUAACAGAAUUUCAUCAGGCAACCAGGAUGAUGCCCAUCCUCCGUAUCGGUAUUGGAUCCCAAUGGGCUUUCGAUCCUGCACCUGAUUUGCCAACAUCUCAUUCUUUCUUCCUAUUUCUUUCUUUCCCGUGGGUGGCCACAUGCUCUGGGGUUUGCUAACAGAUAUGUAUUUUCGACACAAUCUCAAGUUACUGCUAAUCAGGUCGGGUCUUUCUAUUUUCCUGUAUUAAUUUGCAAUGACUCAGUCAGUGAUAGUUUCUACCUUUCACUUCAUCACUCAGUAAAAGUUUUACAUGUUGCAAAUAUGUUUUGGAACUUAUUUGAACUUCCAUAAUUUAUUCUGCUGUGUAUGAUUGCCUAAUUAAGAAAAACCUGUGCUGUAACCCAUGAUAGAGACAAACCACGGCCACUAGAUAGAUUUAUUGUACUAGAACCGUGUUACAUUACAAGGUAAACAGGUAAGGAUAAACUUUUUUCAAACCAUAUUUGGUCUCUUGCUUCGGUCAUACUUAAAUAAAACUUUUAUAUGCAAACAACAAUCUGAUAUUCUUAACAUGUGUAUUUUGCCUAUUCCUCGACUAUCUUUUUUUCAACAAUCUGAUAGCUUUUCAAUUAUACUUAACAUGUUAGGUAAUCAUAUUUGUUCAAAACUUAUAGUUUCGGCAAAUGGAUUGGAUGCCUACAAACCAGCAAUAGCAAUGGUUGUGUUGUAAUUAUUUUAUGUGCAAAUUUCUUUUUAAAGGGUAAGUUUCUGUCUGCAGGAUUUGCUCUCUACAAUAUAGCUGCUUUGGUACAGGGAAUGACCACCACAUUUUGUUGUUUACACAGACUACGAAAUCAACUUCUUGCACAUCAUUUUUCCAAAGGAUAAGCUUUGGUUGGAUUCUUUUAGCAUCUCUUAUCGGAUAAGAUUAUGGAGUAGUGAGGCGAUGGGGAACUAGUGGGUUCACUUGAAGAGAUGCAUGAGGCAGGGCAUUUUAGCCCCAUUUGUUCUUUGGAACUUUAUUGAUGUACUUUAGGAUUAUUCUUAUUUACUUUUGCACUUUGAUUUUUAUUAUUUGGUUUUUAAAUGUUUGGAUUUAUUUAGUAUUUGAAUAUGUUAUUGGAUUUUAUGUAAUGCACUUUUUAGGAUUGUGAGAUUUGAAUUGAUUACCAUGCAUAUUUUAUAA